rnacentral:tRNA from 1 species
GGGCGCUUGGCACAGCGGUUAGCGCGACUCGUUUACACCGAGUAGGUCGCAGGUUCGAAUCCUGCAGCGCCCACCA